rnacentral:rRNA from 1 species
ACACUCCUACGGGAGGCAGCAGUGGGGAAUUUUGGACAAUGGGCGAAAGCCUGAUCCAGCAAUGCCGCGUGAGUGAAGAAGGCCUUCGGGUUGUAAAGCUCUUUUGUCAGGGAAGAAACGGUGAGAGCUAAUAUCUCUUGCUAAUGACGGUACCUGAAGAAUAAGCACCGGCUAACUACGUGCCAGCAGCCGCGGUAAUACGUAGGGUGCAAGCGUUAAUCGGAAUUACUGGGCGUAAAGCGUGCGCAGGCGGUUUUGUAAGUCUGAUGUGAAAUCCCCGGGCUCAACCUGGGAAUUGCAUUGGAGACUGCAAGGCUAGAAUCUGGCAGAGGGGGGUAGAAUUCCACGUGUAGCAGUGAAAUGCGUAGAUAUGUGGAGGAACACCGAUGGCGAAGGCAGCCCCCUGGGUCAAGAUUGACGCUCAUGCACGAAAGCGUGGGGAGCAAACAGGAUUAGAUACCCUGGUAGUCCCAU